rnacentral:rRNA from 1 species
GACGAACGCUGGCGGCGUGCUUAACGCAUGCCAGUCGAACGCUGAAGCUCAGCUUUUGUUGGGUGGAUGAGUGGCGAACGGGUGAGUAACACGUGAGUAACCUGCCCCCUUCUUUGGGAUAACGCCCGGAAACGGGUGCUAAUACUGGAUAUUCACUGGUCUUCGCAUGGGGGUUGGUGGAAAGGGUUUUUCUGGUGGGGGAUGGGCUCGCGGCCUAUCAGCUUGUUGGUGGGGUGAUGGCCUACCAAGGCUUUGACGGGUAGCCGGCCUGAGAGGGUGACCGGUCACAUUGGGACUGAGAUACGGCCCAGACUCCUACGGGAGGCAGCAGUGGGGAAUAUUGCACAAUGGGCGCAAGCCUGAUGCAGCGACGCCGCGUGAGGGAUGGAGGCCUUCGGGUUGUGAACCUCUUUCGCUCAUGGUCAAGCCGCAACAAUGGUUGUGGUGAGGGUAGUGGGUAAAGAAGCGCCGGCUAACUACGUG